rnacentral:rRNA from 1 species
CCUUAGUUAAAUCUCGCUAUCGAAUGCUAAAAGAGGACAAGUCUGGUGCCAGCACCCGCGGUAAUUCCAGCUCUUUUAGCGUACAUUAUCAUUGUUGCAGUUAAAAAGCUCGUAGUUGGAUUUUUGUUUCUAGUUGCUCGGUUCUCCGCGGCGGCAUUUGUCGUCGUGUGAGAGCUGGCCGGAGACAUUUCUCGUCGUUCGUCGUGGCAACACGGCGGAAGGCGAAAUUACUUUGAGAAAAAUAGAGUGUUCCAAGCAGGCGUCACGCCACGAAUACUUCAGCAUGGAAUAAAACCAACGGGCUUUCGUCCUUUUGGUGGGUUCUGGACCAAGUCAUGAUUGAUAGCGACGGUUGGGGGUGCUCGUAUUCCGGGGCCAGAGGUGAAAUUCUUGGAUUCUCGGAAGACGAACAACUGCGAAAGCAUUCACCAAGGACGUUUUCUUUAAUCAAGAACGAAAGUUGGGGGAUCGAAGACGAUCAGAUACCGUCGUAGUCUCAACCAUAAACGAUGCCAACUGAGAAUUCUUUCCAGUCUCUCGUGGGACACGUGCCGCAAGGUAACGGCCCACGAAUCGACGGAAGGGGCGCUCUGUGAGAAAUCAAAGUUUUCGGGUUCCGGGGAGAGUAUUGUCGCAAGGCACAAAUUUAAAGGAAUUGAUGGGAGUUUAUCAUCGGGAAUGGAUUGUGCGGCUCAAAUUGACCCAACACGGGAAAACUUACCAGGUCCGUACAGAGUGAGGAGAAACAGACUGAAGUUCUUUUUUGAUUCUUUGGGUGGUGGUGCAUGGCCGUUCUUAGUUGGUGGUGUGGACUGUCUGGUUAAUUCCGUUAACGAACGAGACUUCUACCCUGAAUUUACAUUAUAACUAGUUUUCAAUGUCUGUCAAAGGACAUUUUUUCAUACGAUAAACUUCUUAGGGGGACUAUGUGCAAUAAGCUCAUGGAGGCGGGAAGCGAUAGCAGGUCAUUGAUGCCCUUAGAAAACCUGGGCCGCACGCGCAAUACACUGGACGGAUCAGCGUGUUCAUAGUUUCUCGUUGUGGGGCAACUUGCAGCGAGAAAACCUUGUUCGAGAGGACCGGGAAAUCAUUUAAAUCCGUCCGUGCUGGGGAUUGAGCAUUGCAAUUAUUGCUCAUGAACAAGGAAUUCCUUGUAGACGUACGUCAUCAGCGUACAUCGAAUACAUCCCUUGACUUUAUACACACCGCCCGUCGCUGUUACCGAUUGAAUGUUUUAGUGAGCUGUGAGGAGAAGAGUUGGGCAACUGAUUUUCCGAAUCACAUCAAACUUGAACAUUUAGAGGAAGCAAAAGUCGUAACAAGGUCCCCGUAGGUGAACCUGCGGGGG